rnacentral:lncRNA from 1 species
UGGAUUGAAUUUGUUAUAUUCUGGACAGUGGCAAUAGAUAAGAGACCAUCUUUUGUGAAUUAUAUAUCUAUGCUUGCUAUAUGUUACUGCCUUAUAAGUUAUUCGUAAUAGAUAAGGGAUCAUAUGCUUUGUUUAUAUUGUUAUUAUUUUGUUGUUAUUUUCCUUCCAAUUCUGCUUUGAGUAGUGCAACUUAAAUUUGCA